CAAGGUCUUGGUCUUGAACCUACUAUUACCUCCACCCCCUAAUUAUACAUGCAAGCCUCCCCACAACGGUGAAACAGCCCACCACCACGGUCGGAGCGGGUAUCAGGCACCAAGCCCACAACACCAAGCACUAAGCCACACCCCCACGGGCCCGCAGCAGUAACUAAUAUUAGGCAAUAAGCGGAAGCUUGACCUAGCAAGGGGACUUUAGGGCCGGUUAAUCUCGUGCCAGCGACCGCGGUUAUACGACAGACCCAAGAUAAUACCCCCGGCGUAAAGCACGACUAAAAUAGCAGUUACCGCCAUUAGGGUGGAAGACAGACCAGGCCGUAAAAAGCCAUAAGUUACACCAACCACGCCCCCUAAUAACAAACAACUUCAACUCGUGAAAGCUAGGAUACAAACUAAGAUUAGAUACCUUACUAUGCCCAGCCAUAACACAACAAUCAAAUAACUAAUUGUUCGCCAAAUAACUACGAGUAAAAACUUAAAAUUUAAAAGACUUGACGGUACUUCACAACAACCUAGAGGAGCCUGUCUAAUAACCGAUACCCCACGAUUAACCCGACCCCCCCUAGCCCAACAGUCUAUAUACCGCCGUCGCCAGCUUACCUUGUGAAAGAAACAGAGUGAGCCCAACAGACCCCACUAAUACGACAGGUCGAGGUGUAACUAAUGGGGGGGAUAAGAUGGGCUACAUUUUCUAAUACAGAAAAUACGAAUAAGCUAUGAAAUUAAAAACUGAAGGCGGAUUUAGCAGUACGCUAAGAACAAAAUACUUAACCGAAAUCAACGCAAUGAAGUGCGUACACACCGCCCGUCAUCCCUGUCCACAACCAAAAAAAUUCAUAAACACACCACCACCACUAAAGCAGGGCAAGUCGUAACAUGGUAAGCGUACUGGAAAGUGCGCUUAGAAA
rnacentral:ncRNA from 1 species